AGGACGAACGCUGGCGGCGCGCUUAACACAUGCAAGUCGAGCGAGAACCAGGCUUUCGGGCCUGGGGAAAGCGGCGAACGGGUGAGUAACACGUGGGCAACCCACCCUUGGUACCGGGAUAGCCCGGGGAAACUCGGAUUAAUACCGGAUGGCCCAACAGCUCUUAGGGGCGGUUGGAAAAGGUAGCUUCGGCCUCCGACCAAGGACGGGCCCGCGGCGGAUUAGCUUGUUGGUGGGGUAACGGCCUACCAAGGCGACGAUCUGUAGCUGGUCUGAGAGGACGAUCAGCCACACUGGGACUGAGACACGGCCCAGACUCCUACGGGAGGCAGCAGUGGGAAUCUUGCGCAAUGGACGACAGUCUGACGCAGCGACGCCGCGUGGGGGAAGAAGGCUUUCGGGUUGUAAACCCCUUUCAGGAAGGACGAAGCCACUCGGGUUAAUAGCCCAGAGGGUGACGGUACUUCCAGAAGAAGCUCCGGCUAACUACGUGCCAGCAGCCGC
rnacentral:rRNA from 1 species